rnacentral:hammerhead_ribozyme from 1 species
AUCUACCUGACGAGUCUCAAGUUCGACGAAACGCGCGUCCUGGAU